rnacentral:rRNA from 1 species
CCUACGGGGGGCAGCAGUAGGGAAUCUUUCACAAUGGGCGAAAGCCUGAUGGAGCAACGCCGCGUGCAGGAUGAAGGCCUUCGGGUUGUAAACUGCUUUUAUAAGCGAGAAAUAUGAUGGUAACUUAUGAAUAAGGAUCUGCUAACUACGUGCCAGCAGCCGCGGUCAUACGUAGGAUCCGAGCAUUAUCCGGAGUGACUGGGUGUAAAGAGUUGCGUAGGUGGCAUAAUAAGUAGCUAGUGAAAUCUGGUGGCUCAACCAUUCAGACUAUUAGCUAAACUGUUAAGCUCGAGACCGUUAGGGGUAACUGGAAUUUCUAGUGUAGGAGUGAAAUCCGUAGAUAUUAGAAGGAACACCAAUAGCGAAGGCAGGUUGCUGGGACGGUUCUGACACUAAGGCACGAAAGCGUAGGGAGCAAACGGGAUUAGAUACCCCAGUAGUC